GACACCGCGCGCUCUGCUGCUGUGCUGGGACAGAGCACCCGGACCCGCGGCAGCGGCGGCAGCGGCGCUCCCCACCCUCCACCGCAGCACUCAUCGAGCCAGGAAACCACCAAGCCACGGGCCCUCGGGAGGAGAGGGAGCAAACAGACACCAGCAAAGCAUUCCUGUAACACGAUGUGCUACACAAGUUCCCAGUAGCGACAGACGCCUAAAGGAGCCUGUUUGUGUGCUGUGUGGCCACGUUCUGCUGUGACUGGAUCUUGUCUUCUGCCUGGCUCCUCGAUUUCCGUCCGGCUGGAUUUGGGGACAACACUGCCUGGCGCAGACAGAUCAAAUGACACUUCAAAGAAGCAUAAAAUGAACAGACUAUUCAAACAAAGGUAAUUUACAUUUUUUUAUUUGAUAAAACCUGACUGAUGUACAAAACGAAAAUAGAAUAUUGUUUACUGGAAAACAGGUCUACAAUCUCUCACACAUCUUCUCUUGCAACAGAUAGAAUUCCAGAAACAUCUAAGUUCCUCUGUGUACAGUUAUUUCUCCUGUAGGAGCCUUUGUAUGGAUGUAAUACACACAUAUAUGUAUAUGCAUAGAGCAUGACAUAAAUAAAACCUGCAAUAGCCUAUAAGAAAGAAGCUCCUAUUUAGAGGAAAGGGUAAGAUACUUUUAUUAUAAUGAAAGCCAGUUCACUUCAUCACUUGGACCAUGGACACUAAUGUAAAUAAAAUGGCUUAAAAAAUAAGACAAUAGUAGUAUUGACUGUAGACUACAAUUUGCACAUUUGUAAUUCUUAUAAAUGAAAUAUUUAAAAUGAUUUGGUGUUGGGCCAGUUCCUUAUGCAUUCUGCAUUCAUGUGUAUAGGAUUCAAAGACGUUCCAAAUAUUGAUCAUAAACCAAGUGUAUAUGAAUUAAUUAAAUAGCAUAUUUCUGGCCCAAAUAUGAGGAAAACCAUAACUUUUUACUGUAAAUCAGGAGAGAUUGUUUUAUCCCCAAAUAAACUAGGAUGUUUCAAGUCAUGUUUCAGCAAUUUGGAGACCUACAAACUAUCUGCAAGCAAGCACAACAACCAUACUCUAAUCUACUAGAUAGUAGUGAGAAUUUAGUGCUUGAAUUCAGGCUGCUUGAAUUCAGUAUAUCCUUCUCUAUGCUGAUUUUCAAGUAGAUAUUCUGUAGCUCAGCUAGAUAAUCUUUUAAAAGCAAAAAAAAAA
rnacentral:lncRNA from 1 species